ACGGAUUAGUGGCGCACGGGUGAGUAACGCAUAGAUGACAUGCCCUUUAGUUUGGGAUAGCCACUAGAAAUGGUGAUUAAUACCAAAUAUUACCCUACGGGGGAAAGAUUUAUCGCUAAAGGAUUGGUCUAUGUCCUAUCAGCUUGUUGGUGAGGUAAAGGCUCACCAAGGCAAUGACGGGUAUCCGGCCUGAGAGGGUGAACGGACACACUGGAACUGAGACACGGUCCAGACUCCUACGGGAGGCAGCAGUAGGGAAUAUUGCUCAAUGGGCGCAAGCCUGAAGCAGCAACGCCGCGUGGAGGAUGAAGGUUUUAGGAUUGUAAACUCCUCUUGUGAGAGAAGAUA
rnacentral:rRNA from 1 species